GUGCUUGCUUCAGCAGCACAUAUACUAAAAUUGGAACAAUACAAAGAAGAUUAGCAUGGCCCCUGAAAUAAAUUUAAAAAUAAAUAAAUCCUGCUCAGAUAA